GGAAGUGGAAGACUUAUAUAUCAAACACUUCCUGACUCUGAAGAGACAAAAAGUGGGAAACCACACACGUCCAUGGAUUGGUAGAGGGAUAAGACUGUAAAUACGAGCAUCCUACCAAAAGCACAUCACAAACUGAAUGCAGUCACCACCAAAAUUCCAAUACAGUUCUAAACACCUUACCCUACUCAGAAUGGACAAGGUUUUAAAAGAUACAACCUGGCAUGAGUGUAGAGAAAGGUUAUCAAUUCUCACUAGUUUGAGUACAAAUUAAUACAACCACUGUGUAUAUCAGUGUGGUUGGUGGUCCCUCAAAAAGUUGGGACUUAACCUACCAAAUGAUCCAGCUGCAUCGCCCUUGGCAUAUACCCAAGACUCUAAUCCACUUCUACGUGGCGCUUGCUCUUCAUUAUUAAUUGCUCUAUUCACAAUAACCAGGAAAUGAAAACAGCCUAGAAACCCAUAUCAACUGAUGAAAGGACAAAAAUGUUCUGCUACAUUGACACAAUGGAAUUUUCAGCUGUCUGAAAUUUUUUUUUCAAGUAAAUAUUCAAUUGGGCCUGGAGAUAUGGCUUGGCAGUCAAGAGCACUGACUGCUCUUCCAGAGGUCCCAAAUUCAAUUCCCAGCAACCACAUGGUGGCUUCCCGACCGUCUGUAGUGGGGUCUGAUGACCUCUUCUGUAGACACACGUUCUAAUAUAUACAUAUACAUACAGGUUUAAGUGGAGUUACCAUAUAUUGGGUUGUUGGGGGCAUAAUAUCCCAACUAGGUGUCACAUGCUUGCAAACAACAUCAGGAAUGGGUUACCUAUUUGAACUGUUGGCCACUGGGUGCCAUAGACACCCCCCACCCCAAACAUUUGCAUACUCUUGCCAGUGCUCUUGGUUACCCUCCAGAACAGAACUUAACAGUAA
rnacentral:lncRNA from 1 species